UACAGAGGGUGCAAGCGUUGUUCGGAAUUAUUGGGCGUAGAGGGCGCGUAGGCGGUGCCACAAGUCACCUGUGAAAUCUCCGGGCUUAACUCGGAGCCUGCAGGCGAAACUGUGGUGCUGGAGUGUGGGAGAGGUGCGUGGAAGUUCCCGGUGUAGCGGUGAAAUGCGGCAGAUAUCAGGAGGAACACCAAUGGCGAAGGCAGCUCGCUGGGACGUGAACUGACGGCUAAGGGCGCGAAAGCGUGGGGAGCGAACAGG
rnacentral:rRNA from 1 species